UACGAAGGGGGCUAGCGUUGCUCGGAAUCACUGGGCGUAAAGGGUGCGUAGGCGGGUCUUUAAGUCAGGGGUGAAAUCCUGGAGCUCAACUCCAGAACUGCCUUUGAUACUGAAGAUCUUGAGUUCGGGAGAGGCGAGUGGAACUGCGAGUGUAGAGGUGAAAUUCGUAGAUAUUCGCAAGAACACCAGUGGCGAAGGCGGCUCACUGGCCCGAUACUGACGCUGAGGCACGAAAGCGUGGGGAGCAACAGGAU
rnacentral:rRNA from 1 species